UAAUAACUUGUUCAAGGCCAUUCAGCAUUUCUCUCCUGGACAACUCUAAUGAGGACAGAGUACUUCUGAAGCCUGGCCAUUUUUGGCCAGAUAAAGAGAAACUUCUUGACAGAAUGUUCUGUGUACUUCACCGGUGCUGUGAUGGAAUGCCAGCGAUGUGCUCAAAGCGGCCUGACACACGCAACAGUUUGGCUUCCCUCUGCAUCAGUAAGACAACGUCAAAGCAACAUUCAUCCCGAAAAUUUUCCCUUGUGAAUUCAAAUGAACUGUUAAUCAGCUAAUACUUGGGCCGUUUGGAAUUCUAAAUCAGCA